rnacentral:rRNA from 1 species
GAUUUCUGGCUUGAAACAUCUGGCCGGCCACGGUUUCGUGUGUUAGUGCUUGAUGUUCUGGCCAUCCUUCCAAUCGCUAUUGGCUAUUCUUCAUUGAAUGGUCAGUAGUAUUGGAUCUUUUACUUUGAAAAAAUUAGAGUGUUCAAAGCAGGCUUGCGCUAUGAAUACAUUAGCAUGGAAUAAUAAUUUAGGACUUCGGUUCUAUUUUGUUGGUUUCUAGGACUGAAGUAAUGAUUGAUAGGGAUAGUUGGGGGUGCUAGUAUUCAGCGGCCAGAGGUGAAAUUCUCGGAUUCGCUGAAGACUAACUUAUGCGAAAGCAUU